rnacentral:rRNA from 1 species
UACGUAGGGACCAAGCGUUGUUCGGAUUUACUGGGCGUAAAGGGCGCGUAGGCGGCAAUUCAAGUCAUCUGUGAAAUCUCCGGGCUUAACUCGGAACGGUCGAGAUGAUACUGCUUUGCUCGAGUGCGGAAGGGGCAAUCGGAAUUCUUGGUGUAGCGGUGAAAUGCGUAGAUAUCAAGAGGAACACCUGAGGUGAAGACGGGUUGCUGGGCCGACACGUGACGCUGAAGCGCGAAAGCCAGGGGAGCAAACGGG